rnacentral:lncRNA from 1 species
UUUAAUUUAAGGUUUUUGUUACUUUUCUCUUAGGAUAUGAAGAGAAAAAAGAGAAAAGGAACGUUUGUGAAAAUUCUAUAAAGAUGUCUUUCCACACUAUAUACGGGCUUUGAAGGGCUGUGAAAUGCAGACCCAAGUUCCCACUGCACAAAAGAAGGCUCUGACCCAGGAACU